AAGUGCUUACAACUCUUUCAAUUUGUCCAGCAGGUCUUCUGGGUUUACCGGAGACCAAA
ensembl:snRNA U7 U7 small nuclear RNA